GACGAACGCUGGCGGCGUGCUUAACACAUGCAAGUCGAACGAAGAGCGAUGGAAGCUUGCUUCUAUCAAUCUUAGUGGCGAACGGGUGAGUAACGCGUAAUCAACCUGCCCUUCAGAGGGGGACAACAGUUGGAAACGACUGCUAAUACCGCAUACGAUCUAAUCUCGGCAUCGAGGAUAGAUGAAAGGUGGCCUCUACAUGUAAGCUAUCACUGAAGGAGGGGAUUGCGUCUGAUUAGCUAGUUGGAGGGGUAACGGCCCACCAAGGCGAUGAUCAGUAGCCGGUCUGAGAGGAUGAACGGCCACAUUGAGACUGAGACACGGCCCAGACUCCUACGGGAGGCAGCAGUGGGGAAUCUUCCGCAAUGGACGAAAGUCUGACGGAGCAACGCCGCGUGAGCGAUGACGGCCUUCGGGUUGUAAAGCUCUGUUAAUCGGGACGAAAGGCCUUCUUGCGAAUAGUGAGAAGGAUUGACGGUACCGGAAUAGAAAGCCACGGCUAACUACGUG
rnacentral:rRNA from 1 species